CCUCUCCCAUACAAAUCGGGAAACCUCGUCGCGGAAGGUUUUCCACUUUCUGUCUAUAUUUUCUGAAAAAUAUCCACAUUUUGCAUCGCAGUUUCGGCGUAUUUUUACAUUAGUUCGUACGUGUAAUCACUGUGUGUGUUCAUGGGGUUUCAUUUUACGUAGAAAGGGUGUUUUUUGUCGGGAAAGGUGUGACUAAAAAUAGAUCACUGCCCGAUAUACUUGUAGGGAAAUCUAGUGAGAGCUUUCCAUUCAUAAAUUACAUUCAUUUGGUGUCGGGCAGUGAAGUAAUACAGUUGGGAGAAGCGAUUUAACUGGUGAAUGACUAUAUCGUUCGGUGAUAAGAUUGGAGUGCUAAAAAGGAUCGAUAACCGGGCCACUGCCUGUCGACUGUGAAGAACUCGCGCCGGACACAAGAGAAAAAUGGCGACGGAAGGCGGACUGGCGCCCGGCGGCGAUGGGGACAUGCCGGUGGGCGGGCCCAAGACGCCGCAGCAGAUCGCCGCGCAGCGUCGCUUGCAGCAGACGCAGGCGCAGGUCGAUGAGGUGGUGGACAUAAUGAAGACGAACGUGGAGAAAGUGCUGGAGCGGGAUCAGAAACUCUCAGAACUUGAUGACCGAGCAGAUGCACUGCAACAGGGAGCAUCACAGUUUGAACAGCAGGCUGGCAAACUCAAAAGCAAAUUCUGGUUGCAAAAUCUAAAGAUGAUGAUAAUCGCAGCUGUUAUUGGAAUCAUCAUCCUGGCUCUAAUCAUCGCCAACUUUGUGUGAACAAGUUUCGGUAACCGAAGUUUAAUUUAGAAGUUACUUGUUAUAAUUAAUGAAAUACUUAGUAUAUAACGUAUGUUGUUAAUUUUUAAUUACGUUACUGGUACUAAGCCUAUGUUGGUCUGUAAACCACCUGUAUGGAGGAUUGAGGCAGAGGAGACAUAAACAUCCCAGCUGCCGAGGCAUCAGCAAAGAACUUUGAAACUUUUGUUUUUCUUUUCCUAGUAAUUAGUGUUGUUAUUAAAUAUCCUCUGGAUAAUAUCACCAAAAUAUAUCCGAUGUUUUGCCUACUAAAUAUCAACUAUUUAUCCUAUCAACUUUUUGUAAAAUUUCGAAAUCACGCGUCUUUGACAUGAUUUCUUUUAUAUCACUAACAAAUGCUCUGUUUACUACGAAAUAUAGUAUUUUUAGAUGAUCUUUCUUUGUUAUAAAUUUUACCACAGAAAUUAAUAUUUGCUAUUAGAUAAGACUUAUCAAAAAUACAGUAAUAUCAUGAAUAUUUUCUUACUUUUUCGAAAAUAGGCUGUUAUUAAUGCAAUGGUAUUGAUUUCCAUUUGGACCAAAUUUCUUGAGUAUUUAUUUUGAGUCGUUUCUUUUUGUACUUUUUUUAAACGUUUAAAUUGUUAACCUUUGAUAUUAUCUACUGUCUACCUAUACAAAUAUGUUUAUCUGCUUGUAAAUCCUACCACUUUAUAGGUGUUAUAUGAAUAGAUAUUUACACUUUAAUAAAUAUCGGUCCAUUUAUGAAAUGGGCGAACGUUUGGGCUGAUUCUGUAUUCAAAGUUCCGAGUAAUGACGAGUUACUGUAUUGUUCUGUUACAUAGCGAGUAUCGGGCCCAUGGUAGCACCACACUACGGUAUAGUGAAUUAUUUACCUACUAUGUUUUAAUCGCUUAUAUAGCUGUAAUCUAUAACCGUGAUCUCUAUUUGAAACGAAAAUUUGUACUUAAUCAAAUUGUUGUUUGUUUAAGUAAAAUUAAAUUAGAAUUAUAUUAAGGACUUGUGCUAUCUUGCGUUUUUACAUAAACUAUAAUCGUAACUGGCCAAUAUUUUUAAAAAUAUAUAAUCUAUCCUGUGUAACUACAACAAAUAAUGCAUUAAAUAUCUUUUUACUGUGUGUGUAUUAAUGUAUGUAAAAACAGCUUUGUAGGUAGAAAUUGUAAAAAUUCACACUAGGUAAUUAGAUGUUUCAAAUAAAUAGCCACUCAUUAGUAAUAUUAAUCGUGGCAAGACUACUGUUGGUCGUUAACAGCUUACUGCUCCACACACUUAAUUAUGAAAAAACAUUUUUCAAGCACUGCAAACUGCAAUGCACUACCGCAUUGCCAUCGAUUUUAAUAACCACAUAAAUACUCCAUACAGACACAAUUCGAUGCUAGUACGACCAAACGUAGUCCUGCCUUACAUUAACGAUAUAGAAUAGUAUUGGGAAAUUGGCCAGUACUACAUAAAUAUAGGGGGAUGGGAUUUACAUUAUCAUACAUAAAUCGGUUCUCUACAUAGGUAAAUAUUCAUAUCAUGUACGGAGACCGAUUUUUAAUAAAAAAAGUACGUAAGUUGCACAUCGUUAUUGUUGACAGUCUCAUUAGGGGGAGAAAAUUAGAUCGUAAUUUUUAAGUAUGACGCCACGGUUUUGAAACACAGUAUUUUUGAAUUCAGAAGACAAGUUAAUACGCGGGAGUUUUUAGAUAUUUUCUUGCCAGUAUCUUGAAAUGUUUGCAGCUUUUUUUAAUACCAACACCAUCAUCUUCAAAGUAGUCUAAGCUCCAUGUUUCUGCCAUUUCAUAUGAAAGCCUAAAAUGCAUAGACUUUUAAAAUAAUGUAAAUAAUUUUCUCAAGACACACGCUGCAAAAUGAUGCUCUCUAAAACCAUCAUGAGAGAGAGUUGUCACCAUUGACAGAUAAACGAUCAAGAAAAUUGGUAAAGUUUUGAGUAAGGCAAUAUCCCUACUCAAAAAAAGGUCAAGAGUAAAGUUUACCUUUUACAAACAUAGGUUAAACUUUAUGGUAUUGUGUUUCAAAAACGAUGGCACCCAACAUUCACUGUAAGGUAAAAUGAUAACACACCAGAAGUAUGUUAUGGGAUUAGAUAAUAAAUUGGCUGUUACUUAUAGCGUUGUUUACAUUAUGACGUCAGAGCGUCACUAGUUAUCGUCGCUGCGCUAUAUAUUUUAAACAACAUUGUAGGUAAGCCAUAGCUAUAAGCAUUGUGGUCAUAAAAUAUAAUAAUUAAAUGAAAUAAAAAUGUUGUAACUGA
rnacentral:misc_RNA from 1 species